CGGCGUGUGGAGCGGUACUUCGGCGUCCGGGCCGCCGGGGAGCGCCCCCGGGAGCGGAGGGCGGCGUUCGACCCGCGCCGGGCCGA
rnacentral:tRNA from 1 species